rnacentral:lncRNA from 1 species
CUUGCUCUUUAGUUCUCUUUCGAUACAUUCCCAUGGGUUUCGAGGACUUAUCUAGUCUCAAACCUGAUAGAUUCAAUGGGAAAGAAUUUCUUAGGUGGCAAAAAUAGUUAGAAGCCUAAUUAAUAUCUCUAUGUUUGUUAUCUGCUCUAGAAAAAUCAUUUCCUUUCAAAUCAUUUUCUUCUAUAACAAAUUCUAAAUUUUCUGAAGAACUAGAGUAUCAUAGUAGGUUUAAAAUACUUAGUUGCCUGUUAGAUAAAUUAUAUGAAAC